AUUAUACCUGCUAUACAGCGGCACACAACAGCUACUCUAGAAUCGAUAGAUUCUUAAUUAAAGCCACAUCUCUAACAAGACUGAUAAACGCAGAUAUUGGUGUUAUCUCCUGGUCGGAUCAUGCCCCCAUCUCCCUAACUCUAACCGAGCAAUUCUCAUCUACUGGCAGAUCGACCUGGAGACUCAAUGAAUCUCUGCUCAAUGAUCCGGUAGUGAUAUCACAGAUUACAACAGAUCUACAAAACUAUUUUACUGAAAACACACGAUCGGACACCACGCCAGAAU